AUUGAACGCUGGCGGCAGGCCUAACACAUGCAAGUCGAACGAGUGGCGGACGGGUGAGUAAUGUCUGGGACACUGCCUGAUGGAGGGGGAUAACUACUGGAACCGGUAGCUAAUACCGCAUACCAUCGGAUGUGCCCAGAUGGGAUUAGCGAUUAGGUGGGGUAAAGGCUCACCUAGGCGACGAUCCCUAGCUGGGCUGAGAGGAUGACCGGCGACACGGGAACUGAGACACGGUCCAUACGCCGACGGGAGGCAGCAGUGGGGAAUAUGGCACAAGGGGCGCAAGCCUGAUGCAGCCAUGCCGCGUGUAUGAAGAAGGCCUUCGGGUUGUAAAGUACUUUCAGCGGGGAGGCGAUACCCGCAGAAGAAGCACCGGCUAACUCCGUGCCAGCAGCCGCGGUAAUAC
rnacentral:rRNA from 1 species